GUGUGGUUUUUUUGCAAGAAAGUCAUUUGAACACUUUCAAUGUUUCGCAAACUGAGUGAUUUUUCGUUGCGGAAAUUCAAGUC